UUUCCGUAGGUGAACCUGCGGAAGGAUCAUUAACAAAUUGAAUAUUGUAACAAUUGUGAAUUGGUCAACUUCUAGUUGGCAGCUUUAUGCGAUAAUAAUGUUAGUCAUGUACAAAUAUUAAUAUAAUACAACUUUUAACAAUGGAUCUCUAGGCUCUC
rnacentral:misc_RNA from 1 species